rnacentral:rRNA from 1 species
CGAAGAACCUUACCUGGGUUUGACAUGUUGGUAGUAGUGAAGCGAAAGCGGAACGACCCGCAAGGGAGCCAUCACAGGUGCUGCAUGGCUGUCGUCAGCUCGUGUCGUGAGAUGUUGGGUUAAGUCCCGCAACGAGCGCAACCCUUGUCGCUAGUUACACGUGUCUAGCGAGACUGCCGGUAUCAAGCCGGAGGAAGGUGGGGAUGACGUCAAGUCAGCAUGGCCUUUAUAUCCAGGGCUACUCACACGCUACAAUGGGCAGUACAGUGGGAAGCGAAAGGGCGACCUGGAGCGAAUCCUAAAAAGCUGCUCGUAGUUCAGAUUGCAGGCUGCAACCCGCCUGCAUGAAGCUGGAGUUGCUAGUAAACGCAGGUCAGCUAUACUGCGUUGAAUA